rnacentral:lncRNA from 1 species
CUCUCUGUCUCACAAUGUUCAUCUUCAUCUUCUCUGAUUUCAUCUUCAAAUCUUCAUGUUUUCAUGGUAUCAGAGCGGGAAAAUCUUCCGAUCCUUCUCUGUUAUGUGUUAUCGAUACUUGAUGAAGCUUUCGCUGAAUUUUCUUUUUUUGGUUAUCUGAGAAAAAUAUUUUUUUUUCGAUGAAUGUUAAUCGGUUAAUCGGAACUUUUAUGUCUUUUUGAGGCUCCGAUCCUGUAUCAGUAGGUGUUUUGGGUG